UACGGAGGAUGCAAGCGUUAUCCGGAAUGAUUGGGCGUAAAGCGUCCGCAGGUGGCUAUGUAAGUCUGCUGUUAAAGAGUGAGGCUCAACCUCAUAAAAGCAGUGGAAACUACAUGGCUAGAGUGCGUUCGGGGCAGAGGGAAUUCCUGGUGUAGCGGUGAAAUGCGUAGAGAUCAGGAAGAACACCGGUGGCGAAGGCGGUUGCCUGGAGCUUUGCUGACGCUGAGGCGCGAAAGCGUGGGGAGCGAUCCGG
rnacentral:rRNA from 1 species